rnacentral:rRNA from 1 species
AUUGAACGCUGGCGGCAUGCCUUACACAUGCAAGUCGAACGGCAGCAUGGGUGCUUGCACCUGAUGGCGAGUGGCGAACGGGUGAGUAAUGCAUCGGAACGUACCCGGAAGUGGGGGAUAACGUAGCGAAAGUUACGCUAAUACCGCAUAUUCUGUGAGCAGGAAAGCGGGGGAUCGCAAGACCUCGCGCUUCCGGAGCGGCCGAUGUCGGAUUAGCUAGUUGGCGGGGUAAAGGCCCACCAAGGCAACGAUCCGUAGCGGGUCUGAGAGGAUGAUCCGCCACACUGGGACUGAGACACGGCCCAGACUCCUACGGGAGGCAGCAGUGGGGAAUUUUGGACAAUGGGGGCAACCCUGAUCCAGCCAUGCCGCGUGAGUGAAGAAGGCCUUCGGGUUGUAAAGCUCUUUCGGCCGGGAAGAAAUCGCACGGGCUAAUACCCUGUGUGGAUGACGGUACCGGAAUAAGAAGCACCGGCUAACUACGUGCCAGCCGCCGCCGUAACAC